rnacentral:rRNA from 1 species
GACGAACGCUGGCGGCGUGCUUAACACAUGCAAGUCGAACGGAAAGGCCCUGCUUGCAGGGUACUCGAGUGGCGAACGGGUGAGUAACACGUGGGUGAGCUGCCCUGCACUUCGGGAUAAGCCUGGGAAACUGGGUCUAAUACCGGAUAGGAGCCAUCUUUAGUGUGAUGGUUGGAAAGUUUUUUCGGUGUAGGAUGAGCUCGCGGCCUAUCAGCUUGUUGGUGGGGUAAUGGCCUACCAAGGCGGCGACGGGUAGCCGGCCUGAGAGGGUGGACGGCCACAUUGGGACUGAGAUACGGCCCAGACUCCUACGGGAGGCAGCAGUGGGGAAUAUUGCACAAUGGGCGCAAGCCUGAUGCAGCGACGCCGCGUGGGGGAUGACGGCCUUCGGGUUGUAAACUCCUUUCGCUAGGGACGAAGCUUUUUGUGACGGUACCUAGAUAAGAAGCACCGGCUAACUACGUG